UUCUACUGGUUUGUUUUCAGUCAUCUGUUGAGAUUAGUUCCUCCCCAUGAAGAUGCAUACAAAUAUAAUACUAAUGCCUCAAUGUAAAAGGACCUAAAUUGAGCUGAUGUUGGCAUGGCAAUUGAAAACAUCAAAAGCAAUUUGAUGGCAACAUCAACAUGCAAAAUCCUGCAGAUGAACUAAGUUGCUAAAGCUUCAGAGUUGUUACCUUCUCUUUGAGGCGCAGAAGAGGGAAUAGGUCUACCUAUGAGCUUGCUAAGAGCUCUGCUAGUAGUGAUAUGAGAUAAAGUGGGUUGAAAGAAACCCUACUUUGGGUCACGGAGUUGCUUUCUGAAGAUAUUAUCUGAGCUUUGUUUUGUUUCCUUUUAUCACAUUCAAAAACGGGAAAGAAAAAUAACCCUAUUGUAUUCCUUAGAAGUUGAAUGCUUGUAGUGGUGAAUUAGAAGGUUGUGGUAACUCAACUUUCUUGUAGAGUUUGAACAUCCGUUCGUGUGCCUGAAUAUAAUGCGAUAAUUCAAAUGUAGUUUUAUGUCACUCU